UCCGGAUUUAUUGGGUUUAAAGGGUGCGUAGGCGGCUUAUUAAGUCAGUGGUGAAAUACUCCAGCUUAACUGGAGGGGUGCCAUUGAUACUGAUGAGCUUGAGUACAGACGAGGUAGGCGGAAUUGACGGUGUAGCGGUGAAAUGCUUAGAUAUCGUCAAGAACACCUAUAGCGAAGGCAGCUUACUAGGCUGUAACUGACGCUGAGGCACGAAAGAGUGGGGAUCAAACAGG
rnacentral:rRNA from 1 species